rnacentral:lncRNA from 1 species
UUUUUUUUUUGGAUGAUGGAUUUAAUUACAUUUUUUAAAUUGCUCUAGACAGAAGCAUGCUUACAAAAGUCCCAUGUCCUAUCCCUAUUCAUUUUCAUCUCUUCUUCUUCCUUUCCCAUUUUUCCUGUUUUCUCUCUUCUUUCUUUUUCUCUUAAGACUUGGAAUGUUCUAGUAGAAAUGGUAUGAGUUUCAGAAUUAGGGUCCUUAAUUGCCGCUGCUUUGGUCUUUGCUGCUGGAAGUGUAGUAAAAAACAGUCAUGAGCUUGAUCUUGGAAUAUUUGGAAAUAUAGACUCUCCCGGACACAAAUCUACUCCUGCNNNNNNNNNNNUGCUGAAUGGGCUCUUCAUUGGAACAAGAUAUUCAGCUGACUCAUCUCAUUAGCAAAGUUUUAGGAGAAUUUAUGUCACUUAAAUUUCUGAACACGGUUUUAAUUAUGAGGGUUAAAUGAGAUAAUACAUGAGUUGUACAUAGCUCUGGGGUAAAAUAUAUUUGUGUGCUCUGUGAUGAACUCUGUUAGGAAAGACAGUCUCAGGUGCAGGUUUUUUGUUUGUUCGUUUGUUUGUUUUACAGCUGCACCUAUGGCAUAUGGAAGUUCCUGGCCUAGGAGUUGAUUUGAAGCUGCAGCUGCAGCUGCAGGCCUAUGCCACAGCCGUAGCAACACCAGAUUUGAGAUGCAUUUGUGACCUACAUUGGAUCCUUAACCCACUGAGUGAGGCCAGAGAUCAAACCCACAUUCUCAUGGAGACUAUAUUGGCUUCUUAACCUGUUGAGCCACAGCAAGAACUCCUCAUGUGCAAUCUUUAGAUCCCACCCUCCCUUCUCAGCCACAUAGAAUGGGCCAUGGGCCAGACCCAUCCUUACCAAGAGAACAAGAGCACACACAGCCUGUGCAGAGUUAAGCACCUUGUGGAGAACGGUCUUUCCCUCUUUCAGACUCAGUUGUGUACUUCUUUUAGCUGCUCAGUUAUGGGUGUCAUGUGGCACCUGGCCAACCACAGUAAUGCUUCUGUCCCCUGCAGGGAUGUGAUGGGGCCCUUUGGUAACAGCACAUGGUUGCUCUAUGCCAGCUGCUGGGAGGGACCUACUGGCCCCCCAGGGGUUUGAUGCCCACUACUGAAGCUGACCUUGCUCUGCCUCUUCUCUGUGAUGAGCAAAGCUUUAUUCUAGCCAGUGUUUGAUUGUGUUGUAUUUUCCUUGGUCACUCUGAUACCAAGAUGCAGGGGGCAGAAGUGUUUGGAUUUCUACUCUAGGUGAUAGGCAACACACAUUAUUUGCUCGACAGAUGUAUAUGUUGAAGUUUGAGCCUCCAGCACUUUAGAAUGUGACCUUCUUUGAAAAUAAUGUCAUUGUAUCUGUAAUUCAUUAAGAGGAGGUUUUAAUGGAGUAGCAUGGGCCCCUGAUCCCAAAUGACUUGUGUCCUUGUAAAAGGGAGAAAUUUGGGCACACACACACAUAAACACACACACAGAAUGCCAAGUGAACAUAAGGUAGAGACUAGGGUGAUAUGUCUAUAAGCCAGGGAACAUCAAAGAUUGCCAGCAGGGCACCACUGGAAGCUAUAGGAGAGACUUGAAACAGAUUCUCCAUUUCAGCCGUCAGGAGAAACCAACCCUGCUAACACCUUGUUCUUGAACUUCCCAAACUCUGAUACAACAGAUUUCUGUUUUUUAAGCCACCCAGUUAGUGGUGCUUUGUUCUAGAAGUCCUAGCCAACUAACACACUGUGCUCAACUGGAAUUUUUUUUCUUAUAACAGUAAAUAAUUUCUCUUUUAGAGAAUAUUUUGGUCACUUUUCUUUCCAUAUUCAAGCUUUAAUCAAAAGUUUUUGUGGGUCUUGAAGCACAAUGGAGAAGGUGGCAUUAAUCACAUAUAUUAUGCUUUUUAUAAAACCACUAUGAGGUCUGAUGCAAUGAAAUUCCUUUGGCAGAGGAUUUUGGUUCUGAUUCUAAUGUUUCCUCAAGGUUGGUAUUAGAUUAGAAUUUCAGUCUACAGAUUUUCAGUGUUAAUAUGACACGAUAUUGGAUUACAGAAUAAUAAUUACCAUUUUAAUAAUUUAUAUCAUUGGCUUUUUUUCAACCUUGUUCCAGCAAUAAAAGGAAUGCUGGGCGGGCUCAAGCUACGCUUCCUCGCUUGUAUUAACUCCUCCUGACACUCAGGUUUUCUAUCAUUGAGACCUGAUGUUAAUAGCCUUUCAGCUCUAUCAAACUGGAAACUUCGCCUUCUUAAAAUGCAGUUGCCAUGGGAACAGCAGAGUUCUGGGAUUUUUGUUUUCAGAAGGUAUCGGAAGACUCAGUGUCAAUACAAGAGUACACAGCAUGACAUAUUAACAUGUGCAAUUCUGUGCUGUUUUUACGUUUAAGAGAACAUGGGAAGAAAAAGGUACCUAAAUGUUUUCACUAAACCUGCCAAUGAGCUCUCAUUUCAUCUUUGUGCCAUAUUUAAUUCAUUUGUUUAUACACCCCCUUUGUUCCCAAAAGUGCUUUAGACAGCUUGGGUCAUGGAAGUUGUUACCAGACAAUUAGACAAAUACAUACAACAUGUUCCCACUGCUUCUAAUCACAUCCUCUAAAAAGGUAUCUUUUUGUUGAACCUGAGAUUAAUGGAUGUUUCUUUGCCGGGGCCAUAGCUGUACGGCUUCUUUAUUCUUAUCCCAGUGUCCUAUCCUCUGGUAAAACCUGCUUUUAAAAAAAUCUCUUUGUAGGGAGUUCCCGUCAUGGUGCAGUGGUUAACGAAUCCGACUAGGAACCAUGAGGUUGCGGGUUCAAUCCCUGGCCUUGCUCAGUGGGUUAAGGAUCUGGCGUUGCCGUGAGCUGUGGUGUAGAUUGCAGACUCGGCUGGGAUUCAGCAUUGCUGUGGCUCUGGUGUUGGCUGGCUUCGAUUUGACCCCUAGCC